UGAGUUAUUAACACUUUGAAGCUUAAAGAAUGAAAUUUCAUAAGUAAAUUGAAAUCAUAUCAAAUAGACAUCCAGAUUACACAUUUUUGGGAACUUGAAUGGGAUGCACUCAGCUUGAUAUUAUGAUGGUAUUUUCCCAGGGGACUCGGGCACCCCUAAAUCACGCUCUGCCAUAGCCUUGCCCCCCUCCACAUAAGAGUCACAUGAGUGGAGAAGAUAAAGCAGAGGCAAGUAAACAGGUCUGCCCUUCCCCCUUCCUUGGCCUUAGUGGAACUUGGCACCGAUGGAACUUCACAGCCAUGGUGCCUCUUCCACCCUGUGCCCGCCAGCCACCACCAAAAUGUCUCUACACAGAAAGAGCUACUGCUGCUCUUUUUAAAGUCCAAAGUACAGCGGAGCGCCUGCAUUCACAUGUUCUCCUCUCCCCAGCUGCUGAAGGCCAGACUAACCCCACUCUUUUCAGGUGUCUCUCAAAGGCCGUCAUUUCUUCCUCUGCCUGCAAAGAUGAACUUUUCCCUUCUUCGCUGCCUUUAAGACUUUACGCCCAGCCCUGCACAGGGCCCUCAUCCAGGAGUAUUUGGGUUUUUCCUCCCACUCCUCCUGACAGUAGCACCUGAGGUGAACAUACCCUUCCCGGCCCUGCAGGUUUAGCCAGGUGUUCACGCCUCCCACAUGAUUCCUCUUCUAUUCCUCAUAUCUGAAACACCAGAAAAAUGAUCCCCAGCCCGGGACACUUCAGAAUGGGCCCCGCUUGAGUCGUGAAAUCACUUUUAAUCAGACAUGUAAAUUCCUUUUAAUUUUUUUAAGUGGCCUAUGGCACUUUUCAGAGGAGAGGGAGAAAAUAAUACCAACAAGGUGGUUAGAGUUUUUAAAAUAACAAUAUUCAGUACUUUGUUAUAACCUAGUCUUCAAAUGGGUUCCUAAAUCCUCAGUUCAGAAUUACACGAGAACUAGCCAGAGCUCCAAGAUCGGCUUCUCCCAGGUAAAUCGUUCAUUCAGCAUCUCUGAGUGCCUACUCAACCUGGGCAGUUAAUUUGGUCUCACCCUCCAUUGACCAGGUUUGCCUCCUAAUUAUAUGGGGCAGUAGAGCACUUAAUUGGGAGUCUCUGAGUCAUGGAUCCUUUUAUUCCUUCUGCUAGCCUGCGAGCCCUUGACCUGGGGCAAGACACUUAAUUCGCCUCAGCCCCAGUGGUCUCAUCAACAUAAUAAGGUUACUAGUCUAAGAGAUCACUAAGGUUUAUUCCAUCUCUGAAAUGCUGUUUCAUGUGAAAGUAGUGUUUGACCCUAGGAAAAAAGCACUAAAAAAAACUUUUUUUUUUCUUUAAAUUAAGCGUGCCUUGCAGAUCUGGUAUUAGUGGCUCUAUGACCUGUUGUAAGUUUCACCUGCCUGAGGUUUCGUGUCUUCAUCUGUAAAAACGAACAGUUCAUCCCUGGGCUGCUUCACACAUCAUGAGGCUUUCAAGUCCUGCUGUGCAACAGGAUUUCUCCGAGAGGAAACAGCAGGGCGAGCUUUUCCUACCAGCACGUGACUCCCGAACCCCUUUUCCUCUAAGCGUCGCAGGAUCUGAGGUUCUGUGGUUGCCCUUUGGAAAUCACUCAGCAGUGGGCCUGCUAUACAACACCAAAGACUGAGGAAAG